CAAAUUGAAUGCUAUGUUUACAAUUGUUGAAAGCCAUGUGCUUUUUUUGCGGGGAAAAUGCGGACCCCCUUAACAGGAAUCAGUUAAAUUUCAUUGUUACAUUUAUUUAUAGACAGUAAAAAUAAUUUUGGCAAUCAUUUUGACUAACUGCUAAGAUUUUAUUAUUCAUGAAAAAUUUUCUUCGGGUGAAACUGUAUAUACCUUAAUUAUCUACAUCUGCCACAG
rnacentral:lncRNA from 1 species